UACGGAGGGAGCUAGCGUUGUUCGGAAUUACUGGGCGUAAAGCGCACGUAGGCGGCUAUUCAAGUCGGGGGUGAAAGCCCGGGGCUCAACCCCGGAAUGCCGGUGGAAACUGUCGAGCUAGAAUCCGGAAGAGGCGAGUGGAAUUCCUGGUGUAGCGGUGAAAUGCGCAGAUAUCAGGAGGAACACCAAUGGCGAAGGCAGCUCGCUGGGACGGUAUUGACGCUGAGACGCGAAAGCGUGGGGAGCAAACAGG
rnacentral:rRNA from 1 species